UGUCACUGAGAGCAGUGCUUGGUCUAUAAUGACAGGCAUAAGUAUUUUCUAUUGUUAUCAUAAGGCUGUUCCGUGUAUAAGAAAGUUCUCUUUCAGACUGAAUACUGUACAUCUGACUUCUUUUAUUCCUGCCUAUUUCUCAGUCCCUGAAAUAACUCAGACCAGCGCUUCUCUGCUUUCCACACUGGUGCCCUCCAGACAUCUGAGGAUGUAUAUCGUGUCCCUCUUUGCUUUUCUUCCUUGUGUUGUAGAGGAGAGAUUAUGCAAAUGAUGUUCCUUCUGUCCAGAACACUUUUCCUGGUCAUGUUCUGACUCAGAUUCCUCAGGAUGCCUUCCCACACCAGAGUAACUUACACAAUAUGUUACCCAUGUUCUCUGAGUCUGAGUAGAAAGAUAAAAGGAUACAGGGCAGAUUCUCACAGCCAUUUGAAUGUGUUGCCAGUUCAUCAUAUGCCUUGUUCAUCUUGGUAACCCUGGCACCCACCGCAAAAUGCUGUUGAAUAAAUUAGAUGGGACAGAGAAGAAGUUGGAUGGAUGUAAAGAGGCAACCUUCUUAAAAGGCACAGAACAGUUCUCUUGGAGAACAAAGUUUUUGGAGCAAGGAGACAGGUGGUAAGAUGCUCUUGUCAAGUAUUUUUAGCGACCAGGCUUGCCUUUGAUUACAUCAGCUGACAAUUUUGUCCCGAUUAGUUCCAUCAGAAAGGGAAGUUUCCUUGGAGUUUUGAUUUUGCGUUGCUUGUUCAGCUUUCAGACUCUGCUUUGCUCUGCAAAUUCCUAUUUGGGGAGCAUUGAAAAACAAAAGACAAAGAAGCAAGAAAGGGUAAGUGGAUCCAGAUGGUGAAGAAAUAAAGGCAGGCAGUGAAGACAGGGACAGCAGAGGUGGGUGAGCCCUUUCGGUCUGGAUGUGGGCAGAAGGUCCUUUGGAAGAGCAGAGAGAGAAGACAGUGUUUUGAUAUUAAUAGAAGUCACUGGCUAGAGUGUGAAAGAGUUUAAAAAUGGAGCAUCGUGUGGAGAGGCCUUUUUUAAGGGAAAUGUGCUCUGCACUAAAAGUGUUCUCUAUUAGGUGUUUUCUUUUGAGACCUGAGUAAAGGUUUUGGUGGCUCCAGAUGUGUAUUUUCUGCUCUUUUUUUUGAAUAGGGCGUGGCCCACAGCCCCAACCCUGUGCGAUCCCACUUGUAUUCCCGCUGACCUGCUUUAGCCGGUCAUUUGGGUCAACACCCAAAUCCCUGGCUGCUCUUGUCCUGUGGAACAGUGAGUGGCGCUUCACUGCAGCCCACGGCAGCCCCAGGUUUCCCAUUUGGAACCAAUCAUUAAUUACAGUCUGUACCUGGAGACUGGCCCAAAGAGCAAAUUAUUUUGCAAGGUAAACAACCACACUGGAAACAAAACAAAACACUGAGCACAUUUACACGGAAUCUAGAUUAAUGGUACUGAUGAACCUCUUUAUCAAGGAAGAAAUGGAGAUGCAGAUGAAGAGAAAAGACUUGUGGAUGCAGCGGGGGAAGGACAGGGUAGGACGCGUUGAGAAGGUAGCCUUGACAUAUAUACUCUCUCAUGUGUGAAACAGAUAACUCGCGGGAAGCCGCUCUGUAACACAGGGAGCUCAGCUUGGUGCUCUGUGAUGACCUAGAGAGGUGGGGAGGGCAUGGGGGAGAGGGCGUGUUUGUGUGUGUGUGUGUAUAUUAUAAUUAUGACUCUCUCAUUGUUGUAUAGCAGAAACCAGCAUAUUGUAAAGCAGUUACUGCCAACUUAAAAAAAGCACUGAUAAUCCUAAGCAAAAGUAUUUUAUCUGCAUCAGUUUCUACUGCAUAUAAAUAUAAAAUUGGCGCAGAAUGUUAAAAAACCAAAAGCAUUCUUGUGCUCUUUCUGUCUCUUGCUCAGAAUGUGAGCACAUCAUGGAUUAAAAUAAAACCAAAGGCGAUUGGAGUUUCAAAAGGCAUUAUCUGGGAAAUCAAGGGAAGGCUGAGAGUGGGUGGUAGGUGAAUAGAUAUUAAGAAUAAAAUCUCCUCGGCUGCUGGAGCGUCUGUGGAACGGUGCCCACCCUCUGCUAGGCUUUGGGAGGCAGGGGAAGCAGCACUCUCAUGUGGCUUUGUGACAUUCAGUGACAUGCGCCUCAGAGCUUGGAAGCAUGGCACAGAAAAUGUCACAGUGUAAGGGCGGUCUGUCUCCGGGCAGUGUGACAUGGCUAUCUCAGGUGCUACUUGGUGGCCGAGAGAUCCUACAGAACCAACCGCUGAGCACUGCUGAUCUGAGGACAUAGCAUGGUGGCGAUAGGUGAGAUUAUUAAGUCUUUGGAACCCACACAAGAGAGGAAAAUCCAGGAGAGCUGGUUGUGUACAAGCAACGGAGGUGAUGACGGUGUGUGAAGACCUGUGUUUUGUUAAUGACUGGCAGUUGUUAAUAAAGGGCUCUCCCUGGAACAACCAGAUCUGGUACAUACCUAAAUGCUAAUAUCCUUAU
ensembl:lncRNA